rnacentral:lncRNA from 1 species
UGUCUUCUGUGGUGAUGAAUGUAAUAAAAUCAAAAGGCUGACAGUAAGAGCACACAGAGAGAAGCACGAGAGUUCUAAAAGCUGCUUUUGCAAGCCCAGAUGUGAAAGCGUGGUGCAUAAUCUCUCCUGUUAACUUCUGUUUCUCUAAUAGAAAGGAGAAGGAAGGACAAUCCCAUUUUAUUUUAGUGGAUACAGAAGUACUACAGUUGUGCAUGAGCGUUCCUUGGGAUAUGGAAAAGGACUUUCAGUUCCCUUCAGGUAAAGUGAUUUUCCUGAGACAAAUCAGACUUUCUGUGCUGUUCUGACAUUCCUGGGUGAAGGGCCUUUGCUGAUUUUUAGGAGAUAAGGGCACAUAUAAAUGUUCUUCUGUUGCUUGCAGGACGAAGGCCUGUGCUGUACCUUUAUAUUCAGGAAAGAAACUGAGCUAUCAGUGCAAUUAUUAUUUAUCUGCAUUUGUUUUCAGAGAUUAUCCAGUCUUCUUUGAGUCAAUGGCAAGAAAUAUGAGAUUAAAGUCUUUCUGUGCAAACAAUCAGUAAUAUUUCCCACUGGUUGCUUUUUUCAUCUAAAUAUGUAUUUCCUUGGUAGUAACAAGAACAAACAAAAU